GGAAUAUUGGACAAUGGGGGAAACCCUGAUCCAGCCAUGCCGCGUGUGUGAAGAAGGCCUUUUGGUUGUAAAGCACUUUAAGCAGUGAAGAAGACUCUUCGGUUAAUACCCGGAGACGAUGACAUUAGCUGCAGAAUAAGCACCGGCUAACUCUGUGCCAGCAGCCGCGGUAAUACAGAGGGUGCAAGCGUUAAUCGGAAUUACUGGGCGUAAAGCGAGCGUAGGUGGCUUGAUAAGUCAGAUGUGAAAUCCCCGGGCUUAACCUGGGAACUGCAUCUGAUACUGUUAGGCUAGAGUAGGUGAGAGGAAGGUAGAAUUCCAGGUGUAGCGGUGAAAUGCGUAGAGAUCUGGAGGAAUACCGAUGGCGAAGGCAGCCUUCUGGCAUCAUACUGACACUGAGGCUCGAAAGCGUGGGUAGCAAACAGGAUUAGAUACCCGGG
rnacentral:rRNA from 1 species